rnacentral:misc_RNA from 1 species
UCCGUUUUGUCAACGGCAGUCUCGCUAGAGUGCUCUUGCGUAGCAACUAACAAUAAGGGUUGCGCUCGUUGCGGGACUUAACCCAACAUCUCACGACACGAGCUGACGACAACCAUGCACCACCUGUCACCGGUGUCCCCGAAGGGAAAACUGUAUCUCUACAGCGGUCACCGGGAUGUCAAGCCCUGGUAAGGUUCUUCGCGUUGCUUCGAAUUAAACCACAUACUCCACCGCUUGUGCGGGCCCCCGUCAAUUCCUUUGAGUUUCAACCUUGCGAUCGUACUCCCCAGGUGGGAUACUUAUUGUGUUAACUGCGGCACGGAGGGGGUCAGACCCCCCACACCUAGUAUCCAUCGUUUACGGCGUGGACUAC